rnacentral:rRNA from 1 species
CCUACGGGUGGCAGCAGUGGGGAAUAUUGCGCAAUGGGCGAAAGCCUGACGCAGCGACGCCGCGUGAGGGAUGAAGGUCUUCGGAUCGUAAACCUCUGUCAGCAGGGAAGAACGGUCACUGUGCUAAUCAGCAGUGAAUUGAUGGUACCUGCAAAGGAAGCACCGGCUAACUCCGUGCCAGCAGCCGCGGUAAUACGGAGGGUGCGAGCGUUAAUCGGAAUUACUGGGCGUAAAGCGCUCGUAGGCGGUAUGUCAAGUCAAGGGUGAAAUCCCCGCGCUCAACGUGGGAACUGCCUUUGAAACGGGCAAACUGGAGUGUGUGAGAGGAUAGUGGAAUGCCAGGUGUAGGAGUGAAAUGCGUAGAUAUCUGGAGGAACAUCAGUGGCGAAGGCGACUAUCUGGCACAUAACUGACGCUGAGGAGCGAAAGCGUGGGUAGCAAACAGGAUUAGAUACCCCUGUAGUC